GUUGGGUUAAGUCCCGUAACGAGCGCAACCCUUGUCCUUAGUUACCAGCACGUCAUGGUGGGCACUCUAAGGAGACUGGCGGUGACAAACCGGAGGAAGGGGGGGAUGACGUCAAGUCAUCAUGGCCCUUACGGCCUGGGCUACACACGUGCUACAAUGGUCGGUACAGAGGGUUGCCAAGCCGCGAGGUGGAGCUAAUCCCAGAAAACCGAUCGUAGUCCGGAUCGCAGUCUGCAACUCGACUGCGUGAAGUCGGAAUCGCUAGUAAUCGCGAAUCAGAAUGUCGCGGUGAAUACGUU
rnacentral:rRNA from 1 species